rnacentral:rRNA from 1 species
GACGAACGCUGGCGGCGUGCCUAAUACAUGCAAGUAGAACGCACAGUUUAUACCGUAGCUUGCUACACCAUAGACUGUGAGUUGCGAACGGGUGAGUAACGCGUAGGUAACCUGCCUGGUAGCGGGGGAUAACUAUUGGAAACGAUAGCUAAUACCGCAUAAUAUUGAUUAUUGCAUGAUAAUUGAUUGAAAGAUGCUAUUGCAUCACUACCAGAUGGACCUGCGUUGUAUUAGCUAGUAGGUGAGGUAACGGCUCACCUAGGCGACGAUACAUAGCCGACCUGCGAGGGUGAUCGGCCACACUGGGACUGAGACACGGCCCAGACUCCUACGGGAGGCAGCAGUAGGGAAUCUUCGGCAAUGGACGAAAGUCUGACCGAGCAACGCCGCGUGAGUGAAGAAGGUUUUCGGAUCGUAAAGCUCUGUUGUAAGAGAAGAACGGGUGUGAGAGUGGAAAGUUCACACUGUGACGGUAUCUUACCAGAAAGGGACGGCUAACUACGUG